rnacentral:lncRNA from 1 species
CGUCCCACUGAAAUUAAAAGAGAGAAUCAAAAGUUUAAUUAAUAUCAUUAAAAAAAUAAGCACAUAUAUAAGCAAAUGUCUGGAAAUAACUCACAUUACGAUCCGGACACUUGUAGAAUAUACGACCCUUGUUUACUCCCUCUUUCGACACUUUGUACUCCAUCACAAUCUUCUGCCCACACUUGCUACAAGUAAUGAGAGGAAGUUUCGGCC